rnacentral:rRNA from 1 species
CCUACGGGUGGCAGCAGUGAGGAAUAUUGGUCAAUGGGCGCGAGCCUGAACCAGCCAAGUAGCGUGAAGGAUGACUGCCCUACGGGUUGUAAACUUCUUUUAUCAAGGAAUAAAAUGAGGCACGUGUGCCUUUUUGUAUGUACUUUAUGAAUAAGGAUCGGCUAACUCCGUGCCAGUAGCCGCGGUAAUACGGAGGAUCCGAGCGUUAUCCGGAUUUAUUGGGUUUAAAGGGAGCGUAGAUGGGUUGUUAAGUCAGUUGUGAAAGUGUGCGGCUCAACCGUAAAAGUGCAAUUGAUACUGGCAGUCUUGAGUAGAGUUGAGGUAGGCGGAAUUCGUGGUGUAGCGGUGAAAUGCUUAGAUAUCACGAAGAACUCCGAUUGCGAAGGCAGCUUACUAAAGUGGAACUGACAUUGAUGCACGAAAGCGUGGGUAUCAAACAGGAUUAGAUACCCGAGUAGUC